GACGAACGCUGGCGGCGUGCUUAACACAUGCAAGUCGUACGAACCUUGGAGAGCUUGCUCUUCAAGGCUAGUGGCGGACGGGUGCGUAACACGUGAGCAACUUGUCCUACGGUGGGGGAUAGCCGGCCCAACGGCCGGGUAAUACCGCGUAUUGCAUCGGCACCGCAUGAUGCUGAUGUGAAAGCGGCCGCAAGGUCGCGCCGAAGGAGGGGCUCGCGGCGUAUCAGCUUGUUGGUGGGGUAACGGCCUACCAAGGCUACGACGCGUAGCUGGUCUGAGAGGAUGAUCAGCCACAUUGGGACUGAGAUACGGCCCAGACUCCUACGGGAGGCAGCAGUGGGGAAUAUUGCGCAAUGGCCGCAAGGCUGACGCAGCGACGCCGUGUGUGGGAUGAAGGCCCUCGGGUUGUAAACCACUGUCAGGAGGGACGAAUACUCGGCUUCAAAUAGUUGACCGAGGGUGACGGUACCUCCAGAGGAAGCACCGGCUAACUCCGUGCCAGCAGCCGCGGUAAUACGGAGGGUGCAAGCGUUGUCCGGAUUCACUGGGCGUAAAGCGCGCGUAGGCGGUUCUGUAAGUCAUCUGUGAAAUCCCGGGGCUCAACUCCGGGGCUGCAGGUGAUACUGCAGAGCUAGAGCUCGGUAGAGGCAAGUGGAAUUCCCGGUGUAGCGGUGGAAUGCGUAGAUAUCGGGAAGAACACCAGUGGCGAAGGCGGCUUGCUGGGCCGAUGCUGACGCUGAGGCGCGAAAGCGUGGGGAGCAAACAGGAUUAGAUACCCUGGUAGUCCACGCCGUAAACGAUGGGUACUAGGCGUCGGGGGGAGCGACCCCUUCGGUGCCGUCGCUAACGCACUAAGUACCCCGCCUGGGGAGUACGGCCGCAAGGCUGAAACUCAAAGGAAUUGACGG
rnacentral:rRNA from 1 species